rnacentral:rRNA from 1 species
GUUUACUGCCAUGCUACCCUGAACAAGCCCGAUCCCAUCUGAUCUUGGAAGCUAAGCACGGUUCGGCCUGGUUAGUGCUUAGAUGGCAGACCACCUAGGAAGACCAGGUCCUGUAGGUG